CUUUCGAGAAAGAAUAAAACACAAAUCAUCAACUACACAGGUCUUGUCGACAAUGGAACGAAAAACAAAAUAUUUAACAGGGAUCUGGAAACACUAAUUGCGACGGAUACACAAUCCUAUGUGAAAGAGCAAUCGUCCGGAAUAAAAAUGACAACAGUUUAACAAAAAAAAAAAAAUAAAAAAAAUAAACUCGGAGAUUAGGA